rnacentral:rRNA from 1 species
UACGUAGGGUGCAAGCGUUGUCCGGAAUUAUUGGGCGUAAAGAGCUUGUAGGCGGUUUGUCGCGUCUGCUGUGAAAUUUCGGGGCUCAACCCCGAACUUGCAGUGGGUACGGGCAGACUAGAGUGUGGUAGGGGAGACUGGAAUUCCUGGUGUAGCGGUGAAAUGCGCAGAUAUCAGGAGGAACACCAGUGGCGAAGGCGGUGCUCUGGGCCGGAACUGACGCUGAUGAGCGAAAGCGUGGGGAGCAAACAGG